GUCCACGCCGUAAACGAUGUCUACUAGCUGUUCGUGGUCUUGUACUGUGAGUAGCGCAGCUAACGCACUAAGUAGACCGCCUGGGGAGUACGGUCGCAAGAUUAAAACUCAAAUGAAUUGACGGGGGCCCGCACAAGCGGUGGAGCAUGUGGUUUAAUUCGACGCAACGCGAAGAACCUUACCUACUCUUGACAUCUACGGAAGUUUGCAGAGAUGCAGAUGUGCCUUCGGGAACCGUAAGACAGGUGCUGCAUGGCUGUCGU
rnacentral:rRNA from 1 species